CCUACGGGAGGCAGCAGUGAGGAAUAUUGGGCAAUGGCCGAGAGGCUGAACCAGCCAAGUCGCGUGAGGGAAGAAUGUCCUAUGGAUGGUAAACCUCUUUUGUCGGGGAGCAAAGUCACCCACGUGUGGGUGUUUGAGCGUCCCUUAAGAACAAGCAUCGGCUAACUCCGUGCCAGCAGCCGCGGUAAUACGGAGGAUGCGAGCGUUGUCCGGAUUGAUUGGGUUAAAAGGGUGCGUAGGCGGGUUAUCUAGUCAGCGGUAAAAUCGUGGAGCUCAACUCCAUCCAGCCGUUGAAACUGAUGAUCUUGAGUGGGCGAGAAGCAUGCGGAAUGCGUGGUGUAGCGGUGAAAUGCAUAGAUAUCACGCAGAACUCCGAUGGCGAAGGCAGCAUACCGGAGCCCGACUGACGCUGAAGCACGAAAGCGUGGGGAUCGAACAGGAUUAGAUACCCGAGUAGUC
rnacentral:rRNA from 1 species